rnacentral:lncRNA from 1 species
AUGAGCUGCAUGUACUUCUUGGGCCAUUUUAUCCCCCCUGCAUUCCCCAGUCUUCUGGCAAAAGCCACAGAGAGAGACUUCACCAACUCUCCCUCCCCGUGUGCACCCGGGCAGCGCCGCUGGUUUAACUCCUGCCGACUGCAACGUCCUCCCGGGCUCCUCAUCCUCAUCCUCCUCCUCCUCCUCCGGAGCCGAGGUGGGAAAACGCGCUGCAAAGGAGCAGCUGCAGGAGAAAAGCCUCCCGGGCUCCUCAUCCUCAUCCUCCUCCGGAGCCGAGGUAGGAAAACACACUGCAAACGAGGGGCUGCAGGAGCAAACGCUGGAGGAGAAGGAGAGGGAGGAAACUCAGACAAAAGGGGACAGAACAAGCCAAGCCCUCGCGACACUUGCCCCGCAACAUCCUUCCUCCCCCACAGCUCCCGUUCCCAUGGAGGGAGGCGAUGGCUGGGGGUGGCACCAUCCAAGAAAAACACGGACUGGAACCAAAGGAAACCGAAAUAGCCGCUGGGUCCUUCUGCAGAGGUCCUGCUGGAGCCCGUCCCACCUCCUGCCCCAUGGAAGUCGGCUCACCAAGCUCCUCCGCUCGAGUUCUUCGUUGGCAAAGCGUGUUGUUUUUGGAAGGUCCCACUUCCCAGGCACCACGACUUCUGUCCGUCCCUGCACAGAGCUGUCACCCAAAAUACACAACUGCUUCAGAGCAACAGCUGUGUGACACACUGGGAAAACCCUCAUCUGAGCCCCAAAUCCUGCCCUCGGUGCUCAGGGAGGUACAAGGAGGGACCAGAGGUGUUCUGCACUUUUUUCCUUCUGUCUCACAGCACCCAUGCUUAGAAAUACUAUAAACCACACAGGAUGGGCACGUGAAUUUCCUAAAGAAUUCCUAGGGAAGGGACAUGAACCAGGGGAACACCCCCCCCUGCCCAGCGAGGGGCAGGAGACGGGCACACACACAUCUGUGGGUGCAGGAGGGAGAUGGGACGGGGCUGAGGAGCUGCUGUUUGCCCACGGAGCUCUGGGAUCCAGCUCUGGCCUCUGGACCAUCCGAAAACCAUCACUCGUGCAGACACUGAAACCCAACCCCCCCGUUGUAUUUUUCCUGGACAAACCCAGCACCCGGCACAGCUCAGCCCUCCCAGUGCCCCCAGCAAGCGAAGGCUGGAAACUAAGUCGUGCCUGAAACAAAUACAUAUUUUCGGCGCAAAUCUCCUGUUUACAAACGCGGGGAGGAGAUUUUGGGUUUUUUUCCCCAGUAGUGCCCCGAAACCACAGCAUUGUUUGUCCGAUUCCUCUGCAGCAAAUUCGUUUCUUAGCAAUGAAGGAGCAACCUGGAGGGAGGAAUAAACCAACCAAACGUAUAAAAAUCA